rnacentral:rRNA from 1 species
UACGGGGGUAAGCGUUGUUCGGAAUUACUGGGCGUAAAGGGCUCGUAGGCGGCCAACUAAGUCAGACGUGAAAUCCCUCAGCUUAACUGGGGAACUGCGUCUGAUACUGGAUGGCUUGGAUUCGGGAGAGGAAUGCGGAAUUCCAGGUGUAGCGGUGAAAUGCGUAGAUAUCUGGAGGAACACCGGUGGCGAAGGCGGCAUUCUGGACCGACAUUGACGCUGAGGAGCGAAAGCCAGGGGAGCAAACGGG